GGCUAGUGUGGUGCAGUGGUUUGAGCAUUGGACUACGACUCCCGAGACCAGGCUUUGAUUCCCCACUUGGCCA